GAUGAAGAACGUAGCGAAAUGCGAUAAGUAAUGUGAAUUGCAGAAUUCAGUGAAUCAUCGAAUCUUUGAACGCACAUUGCGCCCUUUGGCAUUCCGAAGGGCACACCUGUCCGAGCGCCGUCGCACAACUGAGGCGCAGCCUUGCGUUGGCGGGCGACUUGGGAGUAGCGAGUCGCCGCCCAAACGAGACGGCGCCGCGCCGCGGCCGACGAAGCACGAAAGCGGAAGUCGACGCGGAGGCGGUUGCCUGUAGGAAGACACAGCUUGGCCUCGGAUCAGGUGGGGAUACCCGCUGAACUUAAGCAUAUCAAUAAGCGGAGGA
rnacentral:misc_RNA from 1 species